rnacentral:ncRNA from 2 species
AAUAUGUGCUAGGGGUGCCUUAUGGCUGAGAUAUGAAUAUUCAAUUCAUUGACCCUUAUACCUGAUCUGGAUAAUACCAGCGGAGGAAAGCGGUAAUGAUGUAUA